rnacentral:rRNA from 2 species
UACGAAGGGGGCUAGCGUUGUUCGGAAUUACUGGGCGUAAAGGGCGCGUAGGCGGUUUUGUCAGUCGGAAGUGAAAGCCCCGGGCUCAACCUGGGAACUGCUUUCGAUACUGCAAGACUUGAGUUCCGGAGAGGAUGGUGGAAUUCCCAGUGUAGAGGUGAAAUUCGUAGAUAUUGGGAAGAACACCGGUGGCGAAGGCGGCCAUCUGGACGGACACUGACGCUGAGGCGCGAAAGCGUGGGGAGCAAACAGG